rnacentral:tRNA from 1 species
GCCUCCGUAGCUUAAAAUAAAGCAUAACAUUGAGAUGUUUAAAUGGGCACAAAAAAGGGGCACAGUUUGUU